GAUGAACGCUAGCUACAGGCUUAACACAUGCAAGUCGAGGGGUAACGAGAGGAAAGCUUGCUUUCCUUGUCGACGACCGGCGCACGGGUGAGUAACGCGUAUCCAACCUGCCCCCAACUAGGGAAUAACCUUGCGAAAGUAAGACUAAUACCCUAUAAUUUCCUCAGAUGUCAUCUGACGAGGAAUAAAGAUUUAUCGGUUGUGGAUGGGGAUGCGUCUGAUUAGCUUGUUGGCGGGGUAACGGCCCACCAAGGCAACGAUCAGUAGGGGUUCUGAGAGGAAGGUCCACCACAUUGGAAAUGAGACACGGUCCAAACUCCUACGGGAGGCAGCAGUGAGGAAUAUUGGUCAAUGGGCGGAAGCCUGAACCAGCCAAGUAGCGUGAAGGAUGACGGCCCUAUGGGUUGUAAACUGCUUUUAUACAGGAAUAAAGUUAGCCACGUGUGGUUAUUUGUAGGUACUGUAUGAAUAAGGACCGGCUAAUUCCGUGCCAGCCGCCGCCGUAA
rnacentral:rRNA from 1 species